rnacentral:lncRNA from 1 species
GAACAAAGUAGUAAAAUUUAUUGAUUAUUGCAAUUAUAGCAUAUUAUACAUGUAUUGAGCCAACUUUACCAUAUGAAUGAUUAUAAUAUAAUACAUACAUAAGGUGAAGUAAUAAUAAAAAUAGAUUUAACUUUAUUGCUACGGACGGAGUUUUGUACAACCAUAGAGAGUUUAUAUAUUCUGUGGUCUACUUUUGACCAACUCAUGCCCUAAGAAAAAUUUAAGUUAAAAAAAAAAAUCAUCAACUAUCUCAUCUCCCAAAUCAACAUGCUGAAACUUUCUCAUUCCCCUAGAUUUGACUUUUUUAAUUAUAGAUCAUUUACCAAAAAAAGAGCUCCAAAUUUUUAAUAAUGUGGAUCAUCUAAAACUGGCUUCAAGAGGGGUUAGGAUUGUAUGCAGUCACAAAUCUAGCGCAUUCAUUGAGUUAGCACAUUUGUUGUCAUUGGAUCAAGAUCAGACGUUCGAAAUCUCAAGCUCUUCAAAAAACCAAAAUAUGCUCCCUUUUGCAACGUCCGAUGAUCUAGGGCCAACGGUCAUUGAUAUGCUGACUG